rnacentral:rRNA from 1 species
CCUACGGGAGGCAGCAGUGGGGAAUUUUGGACAAUGGGCGCAAGCCUGAUCCAGCAAUGCCGCGUGCAGGAUGAAGGCCUUCGGGUUGUAAACUGCUUUUGUACGGAACGAAAAAGUCUGCCCUAAUACGGUGGGCCCAUGACGGUACCGUAAGAAUAAGCACCGGCUAACUACGUGCCAGCAGCCGCGGUAAUACGUAGGGUGCGAGCGUUAAUCGGAAUUACUGGGCGUAAAGCGUGCGCAGGCGGUUAUAUAAGACAGAUGUGAAAUCCCCGGGCUCAACCUGGGACCUGCAUUUGUGACUGUAUAGCUAGAGUACGGUAGAGGGGGAUGGAAUUCCGCGUGUAGCAGUGAAAUGCGUAGAUAUGCGGAGGAACACCGAUGGCGAAGGCAAUCCCCUGGACCUGUACUGACGCUCAUGCACGAAAGCGUGGGGAGCAAACAGGAUUAGAUACCCUGGUAGUCCACGCCCUAAACGAUGUCAACUGGUUGUUGGGUCUUCACUGACUCAGUAACGAAGCUAACGCGUGAAGUUGACCGCCUGGGGAUACGGCCGCAAGGUUGAAACUCAAAUGAAUUGACGGCUGAGAGNGCGAGNGACGACGAGGGAGGAGG